rnacentral:rRNA from 1 species
CACGUAGGGCGCAAGCGUUGUCCGGAAUUAUUGGGCGUAAAGAGCUCGUAGGCGGUCUGUUGCGUCCGCUGUGAAAACUCGGGGCUUAACCCCGAGCCUGCAGUGGAUACGGGCAGACUAGAGGUAGGUAGGGGAGACUGGAAUUCCUGGUGUAGCGGUGAAAUGCGCAGAUAUCAGGAGGAACACCGGUGGCGAAGGCGGGCCUCUGGGCCGAUACUGACGCUGAGGAGCGAAAGCGUGGGGAGCGAACAGG